rnacentral:rRNA from 1 species
AGCGAACGCUGGCGGCAGGCCUAACACAUGCAAGUCGAACGAAGUCUUCGGACUUAGUGGCGGACGGGUGAGUAACACGUGGGAACGUACCUUUCGGUUCGGAAUAAUACAGGGAAACUUGUACUAAUACCGGAUAAGCCCUUCGGGGAAAGAUUUAUCGCCGAUAGAUCGGCCCGCGUCUGAUUAGCUAGUUGGUGAGG